AGCAGCCGCGGUAAUUCCAGCUCCAAUAGCGUAUAUUAAAGUUGUUGCAGUUAAAAAGCUCGUAGUUGAAUUUCGGGAUCAAUACGUCGGUCGUGCUUCGGUACGUACUGGCGUCAUUGGUUUCUCCCUUCUGACGAACCAUGAUGUCAUUAACUUGGUGUCAUGGGAAAUCAGGACUGUUACUUUGAAAAAAUUAGAGUGUUUAAAGCAGGCUCACGCUUGAAUACAUUAGCAUGGAAUAAUGAAAUAGGACGUUCGAUCCUAUUUUGUUGGUUUCUAGGAUUGACGUAAUGAUUAAUAGGGAUAGUUGGGGGCAUUAGUAUUCAAUUGUCAGAGGUGAAAUUCUUGGAUUUAUUGAAGACUAACUACUGCGAAAGCAUUUGCCAAGGAUGUUUUCAUUAAUCAAGAACGAAAGUUAGGGGAUCGAAGACGAUCAGAUACCGUCGUAGU
rnacentral:rRNA from 1 species